CUAGUAUGUUCCUCGUCAAUCUGGACCACCCUAGACCCCGCUAAACCUUUACAGUACAGCAACCUCGUAUCGAAGUUCACAUCGAAUCCUCUCCCCAGAGCUUGCACCGAAUUCAUUGCCGUGUGCAUAACCGCGGCAUUCGCCGUUGCAUUUCCAAUUGCAUUCUCCCCCAUUUCUCAUCAGUAAAAACUACUUGCGAUUCCCGUCGAUUUCCCUAAAAUCCUAAUUCCCAGUUACGAUUAUUCAACCUCAUAGUUGACAGUCCCAAUCCUGCUGCAAUAUCCCCUUAUACUUUUGAAUUAUCAAUUCAGGACGACGAGACUUGCCAAGAGAUGAAACCCAUAUCCCAAAACCACAUGUUUAUACAGCGGUUUCCUUGGCAAAAGAAGAGUUGACUGAGAGAGAAAGCCUUUGAAGAAGAUUCUGCAUGAUGAAUUAUAUAAUAUAAAAUCUGUAUCUUCUCUGGAUCUUGAACCCCAUGGAAG
rnacentral:misc_RNA from 1 species